AAAUAAUUGGCCUAGAAAAUGUGGAAGCAACUCACAAAAAUAGAAAUAAAUGGGCUGCAAUAUGAUUAAUCUUUCUUUUUUUCCCUUUAUAUAAAAUAAAAAAAGAAAAUCAUUGUUAUCAAUAAUACCCUAAAUGGAAAUUUUUUUCUUUUGCAAAGAACAUUAGAGAAUUCUUUUAUGGAUGGAUGUGUGUGUGUGUGUGUAUAUAU
rnacentral:misc_RNA from 1 species